AAUAUUGGACAAUGGGGGCAACCCUGAUCCAGCCAUGCCGCGUGUGUGAAGAAGGUCUUCGGAUUGUAAAGCAAUUUAAGUUGGGAGGAAGGGCUGUAGGUUAAUAUCUUGAAGUUUUGACGUUACCAACAGAAUAAGCACCGGCUAAAUCUGUGCCAUCAGCCGCGGUAAUACAGAGGGUGCAAGCGUGACUCGGAAUUACUGGGCGUAAAGCGCGCGUAGGUGGUUCAGUAAGAUGGGUGUGAAAUCCCCGGGCUUAACCUGGGAACUGCUUUCAUAACUGCUGAGCUAGAGUACGGUAGAGGGUAGUGGAAUUUCCUGUGUAGCGGUGAAAUGCGUAGAUAUAGGAAGGAACACCAGUGGCGAAGGCGACUACCUGGACUGAUACUGACACUGAGGUGCGAAAGCGUGGGGAGCAAAC
rnacentral:rRNA from 1 species